rnacentral:rRNA from 1 species
GACGAACCGUGCGAACGUUAUUCGGAAUCACUGGGCUUAAAGGGAGCGUAGGCGGGCUAUCAAGUCUGGGGUGAAAUCCCACGGCUCAACCGUGGAACUGCCUCAGAUACUGACGGCCUCGAGGGAGAUAGGGGCAUGCGGAACUGUAGGUGGAGCGGUGAAAUGCGUUGAUAUCUACAGGAACUCCGGUGGCGAAAGCGGCGUGCUGGAUCUCUUCCGACGCUGAGGCUCGAAAGCUAGGGGAGCAAACGGG